UUUAUUAAUGAUUUUUUAUUUUCUCCAUUAUAGUUCAUUUACAGUGUUCUGUCAAUUUCUACUGACAGCAAAGUGACCCAGUCACACAUAUGUAUAUAUACAUUCUUUUUCUCACAUUAUCCUCCAUCAUGCUCCAUCAUAAGUGACUAGAUGUAUUUCCCAGUGCUAUACAGCAGGGUCUCCUCGCUAACUGACUCCAAAUGCAAUAGUUUGCAUAUAUUAACCCCAGACUCCCAGUCCAUCCCACUCCCUCCCUCUCCCCCUUGACAUCCACAAGUCUAUUCUCCAAGUCCAUGAGUUUCUUUUCUGUGGAAAAGUACAUUUGUGCCAUAUAUUAGAUUCCAGAUAUAAGUGAUAUCAUAUGGUAUUUGUCUUUCUCUUUCUGACAUUUCACUUAGUAUGAGAGUCUCCAUUUCCAUCUAUGUUGCUGCAAAUGGCAUUAUUUUGUUCUUUUUUAUGGCCGAGUGGUAUUCCAUUGUGUAUAUAUACCACAACUUCUUAAUUCAUUCAUCUGUCAAUGGACAUUUAGGUUGUUUCCAACAAUCUUUUAAGUUGCAAGAAGUUUUGUCUCCCUAAAUGGCAUCCUGAAACUAGAAAGGGAUGGUAAUUAAAUCCCAAUGUUCUAAGAAUAAUCAUAUCACCUGAAACAUGGUGUCUCCAGGAAUAUCCUCAAGUAUUACAAAAAGUAUCUAUGCUAUUAUUGUAUUUGAUGACUGUCACAGACUGAAUGUUUGCACCCCGCACCCCCCAUUCCUAAAUUGAAAUCCUAACUCCAUUGUGAUGGUAUUAGGAGGUGGGCUUCUGGUAGGUCAUAUAAUGGGAUUAGUGCUCUUAUAAAAAGGGUUCAGGAGAAUGUUAUUGCCCCUUCUGCCAUUCAAGGACAUAGUGAGAAGACGGCAAAUGAACCAGGAAAAAGGUUCUCACCAAACAAUGAAUCUACUAGCAUGUUGAUCUUGGAGUUCCCAGCCUUGAGAACUAUGAGAAAUAAAUUUCUGUUGUUCAAGCCACCCAGUCUAUGAUAUUUUGUUAUAACAGCACAAAUGGACCAAGGCAAGAACAAAGUACUUCUACCCCUGAUGGUAAAAUAUAUAUAGAGAGAGAGAGAACAAAUUACUGAAUUCAUCAAAUUUGGAGUGAUCUUAAAUUUCAGAAAAAUGAAAAUAUUACAUUCAAAUGAUCCAAUAUUAGCCCAUAUUUUUCACUCAGACUAUUGUUUCAGACCUACUAAUAAUCAUAAAGCUAAUAUUAGGAAGAUCUUACAAAGUGUUUUAUGGACAUUCAAUCAUUUAUUUGACUCAACCAUCCUAUGUGAUAAGUACUACUAUCAUUCCACUUUACAGAUGAAGAAACUAAAGUUUAUUGAGGUUAAGAAUCAUGCAUAGUCAUACUGCAUCUCUGUUUACCUGCAGCUUAGUCAAUCUGGACAAAAUAACAGGGGUGGGAGAGGUAGGGGGAGGUAGAGGGAGUAUCAAGCUUGAUAUUUUGUUCUGUCUAAUGGCCAAGGAAAACACUGUGAAAUAUCUGAACAUUAACUUGCCCUAAGGCCACAAGCUUGUCUUCAGUACUGCCAAUAGUGUAAGAGAUACAUCUAAAGUCCUCGCUGAUAUUUCUUAUAUCACCCAGUUUAAUCACAUACAAAAUAAGUUAAUUGGAUCUAAGAUCUAUCUGAAUAUUUCUAAUUGUAGCAGGAUUGUAUAGGGAGAAUUAAGUAACAUAAGGAGUUGAUAGUUCUGUUUAAGUAAAAGUUGGAAAAAAUAUAUAACCUAAACAAUUCCAUUGAACUCUCAGUACAUGUUAAGAGUAAUGGUAUAAUGACACAUUAUUGAAAAAAUAAAAUAAUUUUAACUCACAUCCUCUAAUAUGAAGAAUUUCUGUUUUCUUUAGAUGAACUCUUAAUGCUUUCUUUCUCUCCACAAGGUAGAAAAUUUGAAGUUAAAGGCUAUGAGCAGUUACAUGCACUGGCUUAUUUACCAAUUCUUAGGUUUAGAUUAUAGGAGGUUUCUUAUAUUAGUUAAGAAUCUUCUAAAUUCUUUACAAACAUGGUUAUAGCAUCCCAGAAAACUGAUCCUGAAAGAGAUUCCUAUUUGUGAAAAUUUAUAAAAUAUUUCAUCAUGAGAACUAGGUGCAAAAGACAUGAAUUCCAAGGACUUACCACUUUUGGUAUUAAAGAGUUUACUUUUAGCUUAGUUCUAUUAUAUGGAAAUUGAUCUAAAAUGCUAUUUUAGGCAGAAAUUUGUCCUCAUCAUUAAACUUUUCAUGGUGAAUCCAGAUAACCAGUAUGAACAUUAACUACUGAAAUCCUCACAACAUACUAAGGGAGUUAAAAGUAAUCAUCAAUACACCAAAUAGCCGUAGGCUGUUCUGUAUCUUCAUCCUUCUAAUUUUUACAAACUUUAUAAUAACAUCCUUCCAGCUCAAGUUCACAGAAUCAGAUAUUUUUAAGUGAAUCAGUUUCAGGUGCUCAGCUUUCUUACUAAAACUGAUCGGAGAAUGCACCUGCAUUUGAGGAGUCAGGGGAUGACAAUUUCUGUUUAAAGACCUUGCCUUUUCAGAGUUCCCUGGUUGCCUAGCGAAAAAAAUUCCCUAAGAGGCAAGCAAAGAGGGAAUCAAUAAGAAAUACCAACAGAGGGGUGCCUUAUUUCCCCAGGGGCAGGUUACUGCAAGCCUUCUCACCCUAUCUAGAAUUCUUUUUAGAUUGAGAAUUCAGAACUGAAAAGACAAGUCACUCAGAGGCUCAUGAGAAUUUAUUUGAAUACAAAAAUUCAACCCAAAAGAAAGUACGCUGCCCUAGCUGACUGAGUCAGCAUAUAAGUUUCUCAAAAUAAGUUAGAUAGGUAGACAUUUUUCAUAAGCUUAACAAGCUAAAUCUGUAGCUCCAAAGUUUUGAUGAGAUAUACUUAAAGCAUGAGAUAUACUUAAAACAUGAGAUCAGAUAAAAGAAUUUUGUCCAAAAAGAUCAUAUCAUAUCAACUGAAUUUUGGAAUAUUUUUAUUUCCCCAAUUCUGAGUGUAUCAAGUUCAACAUGGUGCCUCUAAGAAAAAGAGAAACAAGUGUAAUUAGUGGGUAUUUGAGAGCAUUUGGUACGUCUUUGGUGUACUUCCCAGAAACAGAGAAAGUGAAUGUCUCAGGUGACUGAUUAAGAAUCCUUUUGCAAGUCAGGGUUUCUUUUCGACAAAAUUGAAGGAGAACUAAUUAAGUCGUUAGAGGACGAAUCAUGCACAAUAAUUUGAUAAGAAAUCAUUAUGUGAUUUUUGGUAUAAAGUUGGUAAGGAGUUUUCUUCAAUGACAUAAAAAUCUCUCCAAUCUCAUCCACUUACUUGUAUGAGAAAGAUUUCUCAAUGUUUAAAACUGGAAUUGUCGGAGUUUCUGUCGUGGCUCAGUGGUUAACAAAUCCAACUAGGAACCAUGAGGCUGAGGGUUCAAUCCCUGCCCUUACUCACUGGGUUAAGGAUCCAGCAUUGCCGUGAGCUGUGGUGUAGGUCACAGACGCAGCUCGGAUCCAGCGUUGCUGUGGCUCUGGUGUGGGCCGGCGACUACAGCUCUGAUUCAACCCCUAGCCUGGGAACCUCCAUACGCCGCCUCCACGGGAGGCCCAAGAAAUGGCAAAAAGACAAAAAAAUAAAAUAAAUAAAUAAAUAAAUAAAAUUGGAAUUAAAACAUGGUCUAUCUUCAUUAAUAGAUGAAGGUCCAAUAAACUUUUAUAUUUAGUGAUUAUUUAUCAAUAUUUAAUAUAAUUACAAUUUUGAUCAAUGUGUGCUAAUAAUAACAGCAAUAAAAACUCUGGAUGGACUUUUACAUCCAGAUGUAAUUUUUGGAUCCAGAUGUAAUUUUUGAAAUUUAGAGGAUUAUGGAUUCAGGAAAUUAUUUUUAUUUUAAGAUUCUGAGACUAUACAAUGAGCAAUAAAAAUUUUAAGCAUAUUUCAUUGAUAAGAUUUUAUAAGGUAAGUGAACAAAAAUAUGAAUUAAAAGAGAAAAAAGACUGGUGCAGAGUUUUCAACCAAUAAAAAACUUGCUUUUAUAUUUCAAAUACAUAAUGGUGAGAAUCAAAUUAUUAUAAUAUUGUAGAAUCUAAAUGGAUAUAUUUUAAAAUGAUUUAGAUUCUUAAUUUCAAAAUGUCAAUAUUUACAACAUACCAGAAAUUAUGAAAAAAAACUUGAGUUCUAUAAUUAUUCCAAAAAUCUUUCAAGGUAUAGGGAACAAAGAAAUUAGAACUUCCUUGUUUACUUCUCGUGCCUUCUCAUUAUUUAUGGAAUUAGAAAGUAAGCUUUCCUAGCCCAACUUUGACAUUUGCUCUUUGAUCCGUUGUUCCCUUAGAAAUUGAGGUCUCCAAAUCAUGGAAAUGUAGACAUGAUGAAAAACUGCCCAAACAAAUAUGUCACUAAUCAUUUGCUUUACCAUAAAACUCAUGAUAAGUUUCUUUUAAGUAACAAUCUGCUCUAGUGUUUCUGAAAUAUGGCUCUAUGAAUAAAAAUUCAUCAUUGCAUUCUAUUUGCUGGCUCUUCACUUUUUAAGUCUUAAAUUAAAAAUAUGAUGCUUUGAUUCUGUAGCAGAUCUUCAAGAAUAAUCCCUUCUUAAGUGUCUUCACAAAUAUGUUAUGGAGUUUAGCAUGACAGCAGAAAGUAAACAGGUGAGAAGGGAGAAAGGAAAAGAGGAGAAGAUGAAAUGGUAUGAUGAUACCAAAGAAGAGGGUGGGUAACUCUAAGCAUCCAGACCUUUUCAAAAGUGGCAUCACUAAAUUUUAUCACUAAUUCACAAUAGGAUUAAAAUGCAAAUCAUUUUUAUUUAAGAGCAAAGCUAAGUAUCAGUUUAAUAUAAUUCUUGUCUCUGGAGCAAUACCAGCCAGAUUUCUUUCAUAGUUUUCUCUCUGAGACAAGAAAUGCCUAAUGAAACAAGGUACGGAGUAUUUCUUAAGAUUUGCUGAUCCUUAUAAGCCCCUUGACCUCUCUAUGGUACUCCAUUCUUUUACCUAUAAAAUGAGAAGGUGGCCCUAAACCAAUAAUUUGGGGAAGGGUAAGGUGGGUAAAUGAGAAGGGACAUGUCCCAAGGGAUGAAUUUUUUAGACAGAGAGGAUUUUGUUCUUUCCUUCAAAAGGAACAAAAGGCUGCCAUCACAAUCUAGCUUUAAUUUUAAGGUCGCUUCCAACAAUGAGAUGCUAUAUUCCUGAACUAUGACUAGAAAACAUUGAUAUUUCUUUGUUCCUCUUCUCCCCUGUCCUUUGUUCCUGGCAAGCAUCACUAUUUACUCCUUGUUGCUUAGAUGAGGUGUGUGCCUGGGAGGAGGAGGGAAUAAAAGAUGUAACUAGAGACCAAUUUUCAGCCCCUCUGAGGCUCAAUCUGUAGUUCUACGUUUUUAUGACUUCACAACCCUCCCAGCUUAAGAAAAAAAUUAUGAGGAAUUUUAAAAGAUCCCUUUUUCUCUCAUCUUGAAGCCUGUUAAAUGAUAUUUGUAAAAAGAAGGUACAAAAUAAGAGGUUGCCAAAUAAGUUACUUUUUCUAAAUCAGAGAAGUUCAAAGAUAAAAUGGGGCCUGUCUUGGUGGUCAGCUGUCAGAGUGAAAUUUAAUUUAGCAAUGACAAUAGACAAAGUAUGUCAGACUAAGUGCUUGAUCAAGAAUCUGAAAACUUUUCAAUAAAACAGCCUUGAUUUCAGUUAGGGCAGACAACACCAGGUAGAGAACGACUAUGCUGAAAAUAAAUUAAGAAAAUGUCUUGCAGGAUCAAGGGAAAAAAUUCUUUAUUAUCUUCCCAACUCAUCUUCCUCUAUGUAACUUUCAGAGACUCUUCAUUUUAGGAGGUUUUCCAGCCAUAGUGAUGGGUUGAUGGAGAUGUCGUGUUCCUGGAUCUAGUGACUUCUUGUCAAGGCUCCAAAGCCCAGAGUCACUCCUAUUUAGAAAAUCUCCUAUAUCCUUUUGGAUUACGCUUGAUCUCUUUUUAUCUAAUUAAUUACAUCUCAGGAACCAUGAAGUAAUUACAUUAAGAGCUUGGAGGCAUGCCUUCAGGAAUGUCACUGUGGCUUUCUGUUUGUUUGCUUUAAAGCAAACCAGCACUUUGGAACUUGGUUCAGAUUAGCAAUUUUGUGCUUUCAGUUAGAUACCAAGCAAUGGUUCUACUCCUGGUUACUAAAAUAAGAAAGCAGGUAAAGGACAUAAAGGAAUGUGACUCAAUCUCUCUCUUCCCUUUGUAUUCUACUUUAGCAUAAUGACUUUAGACCUCUGGACUUCAGUUGGGAGCACAGAGGCUAUUGGCAAACUUUACUUGUUUACCUGAGGGUCAAGUGGGAUGAAAAGCAGAAUAGGAAGACAGAACUUUCCAAGGACUGGCCCUGGUAAAAGCACAGAGAAACAAUACAGAUCAGCAAAGGGACUUUUUUUUUUUUCCCUUUUCUUCCUUUUUAAAAAAUAUUGUCAAUCUAGUAAGUGCUGAAGACUAUUUGCUAAGCUGUUCAAAGACAUAACUAUUCUGAGAUUACUCCUUCACUUGUCUACUCUCAUAGGCCUCUGUGAACAUCUGUGCCAUGUGUACAGGCCUCUUCCAAACAAAAGGAAGAGGUCUGAAGAGGAUAUGCUCUCAGAAAAGCUGUAAAUACAUUUAAGAAAUUCUCUGAAAGUUCAUCAGCUACCUGAUUUCCUAGGCAAGGCUUCUUAUCACAUUAACCAUGAUUUAAGAUGGAAGUGGGGGGAUAGAAUAAAGAUAGAGGAAUAAGAAGGGGAGGAAAAGGGAAGGUAAUGAAUGAUUAAUGAAAAUCUGGUGAUUAAUGGAAAAAAGAUUUUAAGAAAUAAUAAAGCAUUUAUCCCUAGGGUAGAAAACAGGAAAAAACAAAAAUGAGUACCAAAUUGAAACUGGCAAAACACUGAAAGAAGAGAGUAGAACAAAGAAACAGAGUAGGACAAAGAAAUGCUCCUUUCAGUAUAAGAUUGUUGAAAAGACACACAGGAUUUGAAAACUUACCAUUUAGGAGAUAUUUGCUUAAACAAAAAUAAAUUUAUAUUUGCCUGAUUUCCUGAAAGUUACCAAUAAUGGGCCAUUUAUGGAUAAGAGCCUGCAGAUAUUCAGGUAUACAGAAGCCAGACUUUGUGUCUGUUGAACGUUUCUUUCUCUUCAAAAUCUGACACAGCAUCAGAGUGCAUGAGAACCCUCAGCUGCAUGGAUCCAUCACCAAUGAAUGAGAACCUGGCUUUUCAGAUGCACACUUUUUAGUGAGCACACUGGGCUCUCCAGAGCAGCAUGUAUGUGAAUUACCUAUGUGUGGGCACAGCCUAAGGGAAAACUCAUAUGAGGCACAGAGGCAAUUUAUAAACACAAGCUGUACAUUGAUAAGGAGACAGAAGUAUAUCACAAAGGGUGUAGAUGCCCAGGUUUUUCCACAAAAGCUGACCUUCACACAUGCAAGGGAAAAAUACCACAAAAACAUUCCUAUGGCAAGACGAGCAAUGACUGAAAAUAAGAAUGUGUGUACUUUACUUAUUUUGAAUGUUAGUUAAAGGAAAACAGGUUUAAUUGGAAGACAAGUUGAGCUGAUGAUAACAGUUAUGGAGAUUCUUCAGGGAGCUUCUGGACACAUGCAAGAGCCAUGAAGGCUGGCGACAUAUGUUUUGAAAAAAUUAGGCCUUAUUUCCCAUGACAGUUUUUUUUUUUUUUUCCUUUUCUAUGAAUUUGGUGUAUUACCCAUACAGCUUGUACUCCCAUUACCCAUGAUUAGGAACACAUUAGGCUCACAUUAGGUUCCCUGAAGACAGAAUCCAAGAUUCUUUCAAUUUUGUAAUUUUGGUAUCUAGUUUGCUUCACAGAUUUCUCUGAAGUGAUCAAAUGAAUGAGUAUGUGAACUAAUGAAUGACUUGUUAAAACAGUAUUGCGAAGAAUUUUGUAAUGGAGGGAGGGGCAUCAUUUUCUACAAAGGCAUCAAUUUGUUCUAUUACAUCUCCUAAAUCACAAGAACUACUGAUCUGAUACUGAAAAGGAAUACCUGCCUCAGGCAGAAGUGACUGGAAAAAAAAAAAAAAAAA
rnacentral:lncRNA from 1 species